rnacentral:rRNA from 1 species
CCUACGGGAGGCAGCAGUGGGGAAUCUUGCGCAAUGGGCGAAAGCCUGACGCAGCCAUGCCGCGUGAAUGAUGAAGGUCUUAGGAUUGUAAAAUUCUUUCACCGGGGACGAUAAUGACGGUACCCGGAGAAGAAGCCCCGGCUAACUUCGUGCCAGCAGCCGCGGUAAUACGAAGGGGGCUAGCGUUGCUCGGAAUUACUGGGCGUAAAGGGAGCGUAGGCGGAUAGUUUAGUCAGAGGUGAAAGCCCAGGGCUCAACCUUGGAAUUGCCUUUGAUACUGGCUAUCUUGAGUGUGGGAGAGGUAUGUGGAACUCCGAGUGUAGAGGUGAAAUUCGUAGAUAUUCGGAAGAACACCAGUGGCGAAGGCGACAUACUGGCCCAUUACUGACGCUGAGGCUCGAAAGCGCGGGGAGCAAACAGGAUUAGAUACCCUGGUAGUCCACGCUGUAAACGAUGAGUGCUAGUUGUCGGCAGGCAUGCCUGUCGGUGACGCAGCUAACGCAUUAAGCACUCCGCCUGGGGAGUACGGUCGCAAGAUUAAAACUUAAGGAAUUGACGG